rnacentral:lncRNA from 1 species
CCAACGGUUGGGACAUGCACUAGGGUCAACACCAUGACCACAGUUAACCAUGACCACGGUGUUUACUCCAGUCACAUAUCCGGUGAGAACUUAGCAUUAGACUAUUAUCCAACAUAUCAAAACUUUUAGAUGUUCUCCAUUUUAAGGCUGGAAGAGGAUGGUAAAAAUGAGAGGAGCCCAUUUUUAGGAGGUGCUCUUGGACUCUACCUGAGAAGCUGUCUUUGUCCAUGGCCGGCAGGUCCCUAGCUUGAUACAUGUAGCAGCGCAGAUGAUAGCGGCUUCCACCUGCACACACAGACUCAAAACUUUAUUGAAAUGAAGUGGACAGAGUUGGGUAGCCGAAGAAUCGCCCAUCUCACAGUCAAAGAAGCAGGAGAUGGUCGGUCUGUUGACUCCAAACGUGGUCGUGACCGACUUGUCGUCGUGUUUGUCUUCUAUGCUGCUCUGUGGGGAAGAAGGAUGGCGGAGGCGAUGAGGAUCUAACGGGCACACGCCAGGACACGCUGCCAAAACUGAUCCUCACCAGCGAGCACUCUAGAGCAAAGAUGGCCGCCGGGCCGGUCUUCUCCAGCGGCUCCAUGCGGCGCCUCCACCUGCGCCUCCUGAAGCUGUCCGUCUUCCGUGGCUUCAGGUCUCGUCUCCUCAUUCGGACCCAGCGUCUCCUCCUGUUGGUGUGGUACAUCUUCUCCGCCGGCACCCACGACUUGGGACGGCGGUCCGGAGGGAUGGUGACGCCAUAUUCCCAGCCUGUACACACACACACACCAGCACAAGAAAGAGACACAAUCGCUGUGAGGGUGAACAGGUCUGAGAGCUUUCCUGCCUGACGUCAAGAUUUGAUGAAAACCUGAGAUUAUUUUUAGCUUUUUUACUUGAAAGCCAACAUGAGAAUAGCUAAACAUUCUGAUGUGAAGAAUCAAAACGCUUGUUUGUCACAUAAAAAUAUCUCAAACUGUGCUCUGGAAGUUUUUCUAAAAGAGACGACCAUUCUAUCUGUCUGAC